UACGGAGGGGGCAAGCGUUGUUCGGAAUUACUGGGCGUAAAGGGCGCGCAGGCGGCUGCUCAAGUCAGGCGUGAAAGGCCUGGGCUCAACCCGGGAAUUGCGCUUGAGACUGGGCUGGCUUGAGUGCGGGAGAGGAUGGUGGAAUUCCCAGUGUAGAGGUGAAAAUUCGUAGAUAUUCGCAAGAACACCAGUGGCGAAGGCGGCUCACUGGCCCGGUACUGACGCUGAGGUGCGAAAGCGUGGGGAGCAAACAGGG
rnacentral:rRNA from 1 species